rnacentral:rRNA from 1 species
CUUUUGUAUAAUGGGUCAGCGACUUAUAUUCUGUAGCAAGGUUAACCGAAUAGGGGAGCCGAAGGGAAACCGAGUCUUAACUGGGCGUUAAGUUGCAGGGUAUAGACCCGAAACCCGGUGAUCUAGCCAUGGGCAGGUUGAAGGUUGGGUAACACUAACUGGAGGACCGAACCGACUAAUGUUGAAAAAUUAGCGGAUGACUUGUGGCUGGGGGUGAAAGGCCAAUCAAACCGGGAGAUAGCUGGUUCUCCCCGAAAGCUAUUUAGGUAGCGCCUCGUGAAUUCAUCUCCGGGGGUAGAGCACUGUUUCGGCAAGGGGGUCAUCCCGACUUACCAACCCGAUGCAAACUGCGAAUACCGGAGAAUGUUAUCACGGGAGACACACGGCGGGUGCUAACGUCCGUCGUGAAGAGGGAAACAACCCAGACCGCCAGCUAAGGUCCCAAAGUCAUGGUUAAGUGGGAAACGAUGUGGGAAGGCCCAGACAGCCAGGAUGUUGGCUUAGAAGCAGCCAUCAUUUAAAGAAAGCGUAAUAGCUCACUGGUCGAGUCGGCCUGCGCGGAAGAUGUAACGGGGCUAAACCAUGCACCGAAGCUGCGGCAGCGACACUAUGUGUUGUUGGGUAGGGGAGCGUUCUGUAAGCCUGUGAAGGUGUACUGUGAGGUAUGCUGGAGGUAUCAGAAGUGCGAAUGCUGACAUAAGUAACGAUAAAGCGGGUGAAAAGCCCGCUCGCCGGAAGACCAAGGGUUCCUGUCCAACGUUAAUCGGGGCAGGGUGAGUCGACCCCUAAGGCGAGGCCGAAAGGCGUAGUCGAUGGGAAACAGGUUAAUAUUCCUGUACUUGGUGUUACUGCGAAGGGGGGACGGAGAAGGCUAUGUUGGCCGGGCGACGGUUGUCCCGGUUUAAGCGUGUAGGCUGGUUUUCCAGGCAAAUCCGGAAAAUCAAGGCUGAGGCGUGAUGACGAGGCACUACGGUGCUGAAGCAACAAAUGCCCUGCUUCCAGGAAAAGCCUCUAAGCAUCAGGUAACAUCAAAUCGUACCCCAAACCGACACAGGUGGUCAGGUAGAGAAUACCAAGGCGCUUGAGAGAACUCGGGUGAAGGAACUAGGCAAAAUGGUGCCGUAACUUCGGGAGAAGGCACGCUGAUAUGUAGGUGAAGCGACUUGCUCGUGGAGCUGAAAUCAGUCGAAGAUACCAGCUGGCUGCAACUGUUUAUUAAAAACACAGCACUGUGCAAACACGAAAGUGGACGUAUACGGUGUGACGCCUGCCCGGUGCCGGAAGGUUAAUUGAUGGGGUCAGCGCAAGCGAAGCUCUUGAUCGAAGCCCCGGUAAACGGCGGCCGUAACUAUAACGGUCCUAAGGUAGCGAAAUUCCUUGUCGGGUAAGUUCCGACCUGCACGAAUGGCGUAAUGAUGGCCAGGCUGUCUCCACCCGAGACUCAGUGAAAUUGAACUCGCUGUGAAGAUGCAGUGUACCCGCGGCAAGACGGAAAGACCCCGUGAACCUUUACUAUAGCUUGACACUGAACAUUGAGCCUUGAUGUGUAGGAUAGGUGGGAGGCUUUGAAGUGUGGACGCCAGUCUGCAUGGAGCCGACCUUGAAAUACCACCCUUUAAUGUUUGAUGUUCUAACGUUGACCCGUAAUCCGGGUUGCGGACAGUGUCUGGUGGGUAGUUUGACUGGGGCGGUCUCCUCCUAAAGAGUAACGGAGGAGCACGAAGGUUGGCUAAUCCUGGUCGGACAUCAGGAGGUUAGUGCAAUGGCAUAAGCCAGCUUGACUGCGAGCGUGACGGCGCGAGCAGGUGCGAAAGCAGGUCAUAGUGAUCCGGUGGUUCUGAAUGGAAGGGCCAUCGCUCAACGGAUAAAAGGUACUCCGGGGAUAACAGGCUGAUACCGCCCAAGAGUUCAUAUCGACGGCGGUGUUUGGCACCUCGAUGUCGGCUCAUCACAUCCUGGGGCUGAAGUAGGUCCCAAGGGUAUGGCUGUUCGCCAUUUAAAGUGGUACGCGAGCUGGGUUUAGAACGUCGUGAGACAGUUCGGUCCCUAUCUGCCGUGGGCGCUGGAGAACUGAGGGGGGCUGCUCCUAGUACGAGAGGACCGGAGUGGACGCAUCACUGGUGUUCGGGUUGUCAUGCCAAUGGCACUGCCCGGUAGCUAAAUGCGGAAGAGAUAAGUGCUGAAAGCAUCUAAGCACGAAACUUGCC